CCUACCCUUUUUUGCCCUUCAGUUGCUCUUCAAGUCUAGCUUUUUUUGUGUAUUACACACUAAAGCGACGGUUUUGGCCCUGCUGUCCGGUAGAAAUCUCUUGACCUCUUCGGAAACCAGAGAAAACUCAACUGCUGUGCAACGUGAUUGGCAAUUUCGAUCAUGCUUAUUACGCUCCACUUUGCGAUCUCUUCCAUCUCUAUUUCAUGAUUUCUUUGAUCUCUACUUUCUCAUCUCUUCAAUCUCUGCUUCGCGAUCUCCUCAUCGCCGCAUCUUGCUCCCAAUCUCUCCUUACACAGGUUUUUUCUUAAAACAUGUGACCCAACUUUUUCUUUUAGAGAGAAGAACAUGCAUUCACUUUACUACGUGUUGUCCGUAAGAGAAACGUACAAGUUAGUUCAUUUCAUUGAAACCUUUGGUCUAGGCUUGAAAAUCAAUGCUGACAGGAGAGGGCGGUGCCUGAUCUUUGGGUUGAAUCUGUCCGCCUUGCCAUUUUCGUUGCAAUAUCAGUGAAAGGUAAAUUUGUUCUCUGUGAUUUUUUUUUGUUGGGGUAAGUGAUUUGAUGAGUCGUGAUUUUUGUUGGGGUAAGUGUUUUGAUGCUAGUUUGUUCAUGUUAUACAAACAGUAAAAUCACGAAGACUCUAUAAUGUAAACCAUUUUAAUAGUAGAUUGUUUCUAGCCUUAUCUAAUUGCAAAGGUUUGAGUUUUUAUUUUUUGAGUUAAGUAUUUAGUUACUGGAUUGCAUCUCCUCUGCUCUUUCUCCUGGUAUUUUUUUCAUCCCUAUUUUUCCUAUCCAACUUUGUGUUUUUUUUUAUAUAUCAACUUUUUCCGUGUUUGAAUGAUUCUCAUCCGCUUUUUGUUCUUUUUUUUUUUUUUCCUAUUACUUAGAAUUACAUUAACAGGCAUUUGCACACAAAUGCAUUUACUUUAAAGCACAGAUAUGAAAUCUUCCAUGCAGGGAAUUCAGUCGUUUUGAAGAUCAGCUUAACCUGUAAUUAUAUACCAAGUUUUUUUUCCCUCAAUUUUUACAAGUGAAAUAAUAUGUUGGAAUUUUCUUGAUUAAUGAAAGUGUAAAUUUGUAGAUAAUGUCAAUUGAAAUUUUCAUUAAUUCUAUCAUCAAGAUGUCAUCUUUAGCAUAUUUUCUGAUAAAACUAGUUAAAUAUUUUCAGUUUAUUAUUCUAUUUUUUGCCAUUUAAGUUCAAUAUCACAGCUCUCUUGAUCGAUAUGCUUUUUUUUCUUCUGAUUUAGGAUUUGCAAAUGGGUAUUCUAUUUAAAUUUUUUUUUUUUCCAUGGUUUUGAAGGUUUUCUUUGUACCUUCCAAUCUUGCAUGUAGGUGUAUAAUUUGGUUUAGUCAUUGAGACGAGAAAUUUCAACUGCUUCCUUUGUGUCUUUUCUCAAACAAAAUGCUGAAAUAUUUGAUUUAUUAAUGUUAUUACGUUGAUUGUUGUUCAUGUUAUUUGCUUGCAUUUUCCAUCCCUAUGAAUUAUUCAAAAAGAUAAAAUUGCUGCAAUUAGUUUGGUUACUUUACAGGAAAGCUUAUAUAGAUUUUUUAUCAACAAAUUCCACUUUCCAACGCUUCGCUUUCUUCAAUUGCAGGUAUUCGAAUGUUGCAUGUAAAAAUUUUUUUCUCCACUAAUUAAAAAGAACCUUUUGUUCACUGGGCAAAAGCCAUAUUGUUUCUAUGGCACAUAUACGUUGGAAAUAAAGUACAAUAUAAAUUAUUUGUGUUUAAUUGAUUAAGUACGUGAUGUUCAUUUGAGGCUAUACAAACUAAAUUUGUUGUAUGUCAACUUAAUUUAGGUAAGAACCAUGAAUCUCUAAUCCUUUUCAAUUUUUGUUUAUUCCAGCUUCACAUUAUUCUAAAUCCAUAUUUAUGGAAGAAAAAAAAAAAAGGAGUUUCCAACUAUGACACUGAAGAAAUGUAGUAUUCUCUUUCGUUGUUAACUUAUUAAAAAUGAUUUUCUAAGCAUUGUUGUUCUCAAUUUAUUCAUUUGCAGUGUAGGAGUUGGUUAUCUCAUUGACCCUACCCUUUACUGCCCACACAAGUGGUCAACAUUCUGAAUCACAUUUUAUCUAAAAUGUAGUUUACAAGGGAAAAUUCAUGCGCCACUAAUCUACCACAACUCAAAGUUAAAGAUCAAGAAGAGUUGAUGAAAGAAGCAGUGACAAGCAUCUUACAAACGUCUCUCAGUUUUUAUUCAACAAUCCAAGCGUAUAACAGUCAUAGGCUGGAGAUUAUAGGCGUCCCAUGUUUCUACUCCCGGGUUUGGUAAAGCAGAAAUUUAUAUUUUGUUGUACAGUUAACUUGGUUUAAAUUUCAGGCGUUGUGGCUUUAGUAUUUCCCAGUCUGAGUUCUAUAUAUAUAUAUCAGAAUAACAGUAUUUUUUCGUAUGUAUUGUGAAUAAUUGUUAUUCUAACAGGAACUGCAAUGGUGGAAGGGAAGAAACAUAAAAGCAAUGUUAUUCCAGCCAAAAGCCUUAUUCCCCCAACAUUUGGCAUGAUUGCUGAAACUUUCAAUUCAUUGUACCUAAAUAAAUUGAAACAAUGUUCUAAGACACAAUCUUUUAUAUGUUUCAAACAUAAUCUGCAUACAAUUUCUAAUCCUGCUGCAAUGCGCGGGUAGUAAUUUCUAA